UUCCCCAAUUCCUUCUUAUCUUGCACCUGCUCUCUCCAACAGAGAUUAUACAACACCCAAUUCCUUCUUGCCUUAGGUAAACAUAUACGUGAGGUAUCUGGGUGAACAUUCUUGACUCUGCUAAUUGUCUUCCAAAGUCCAAUCUACAUGGAGAACGCAGGGCACACAGCAUUUUGGAACAAACCUUAAAACAAAAAGACAUUCAUGAUAAAAUAUAAUAAUACUUUCUUUAACAGAGGCUGAGGCUGAGCAGGCCGUAGCUGAGGCUGAGGUCGAUGACGGUGUUGCUCCAUAACCCUCCUUCUCCCCGCCGUAUACAAAUCGCACCAAUUAAUAAGACAGCACCCUCACCACAUACAGAGAGUGCACACUAAUAAGACAGCACCCUCACCACCUGCAGAGGGUGCACACUAAUAACACAGCACCCUCACCACUUGCAGAGGGUGCACACUAAUAAGACAAAUGUAC
ensembl:lncRNA